rnacentral:rRNA from 1 species
GUGCACCAGUCGCGAAAACUUUACAAUGCGAGCAAUCGUGAUAAGGAAACCCUGAGUGCCUGUCAAUGCAGGCUGUUCUGGUGUCUAACACACACCAGGAGAAAGGGCGGGGCAAGACCGGUGCCAGCCGCCGCGGUAAUACCGGCUGCUCGAGUGAUAGCCACUUUUACUGGGCUUAAAGCGUUCGUAGCUUGGUCGUUAAGUCUCUGGGGAAAUCUUUUGGCUCAACCAAAAGGCGUCUCAGGGAAACUGGCGAUCUUGGAACCGGGAGAGGUAAGACGUACUUCGGGGGUAGGAGUGAAAUCUUGUAAUCCCCGAGGGACGACCGAUGGCGAAGGCAUCUUACCAGAACGGCUUCGACAGUGAGGGACGAAAGCUGGGGGAGCAAACCGGAUUAGAUACCCGGGUAGUCC